rnacentral:rRNA from 1 species
AUUGAACGCUGGCGGCAGGCCUAACACAUGCAAGUCGAGCGGAUGAAGGGAGCUUGCUCCUGGAUUCAGCGGCGGACGGGUGAGUAAUGCCUAGGAAUCUGCCAGGUAGUGGGGGAUAACGUCCGGAAACGGGCGCUAAUACCGCAUACGUCCUGAGGGAGAAAGUGGGGGAUCUUCGGACCUCACGCUAUCAGAUGAGCCUAGGUCGGAUUAGCUAGUUGGUGGGGUAAAGGCCUACCAAGGCGACGAUCCGUAACUGGUCUGAGAGGAUGAUCAGUCACACUGGAACUGAGACACGGUCCAGACUCCUACGGGAGGCAGCAGUGGGGAAUAUUGGACAAUGGGCGAAAGCCUGAUCCAGCCAUGCCGCGUGUGUGAAGAAGGUCUUCGGAUUGUAAAGCACUUUAAGUUGGGAGGAAGGGCAGUAAGUUAAUACCUUGCUGUUUUGACGGUACCAACAGAAUAAGCACCGGCUAACUUCGUG